GAUGAACGCUGGCGGCGUGCCUAAUACAUGCAAGUCGAGCGAACAGACGAGGAGCUUGCUCCUCUGACGUUAGCGGCGGACGGGUGAGUAACACGUGGAUAACCUACCUAUAAUACUGGUAUAACUUCGGGAAACCGGAGCUAAUACCGUAUAAUAUAUUGAACCGUAUGGUUCAAUAGUGAAAGUCGGUUUUGCUGUCACUUAUAGAUGGAUCCGCGCCGCAUUAGCUAGUUGGUAAGGUAACAGCUUACCAAGGCAACGAUGCGUAGCCGACCUGGUAGGGUGAUCGGCGACAUUGGAACGGAGACACGGUCCAGAGGCCUACGGGAGGCAGCAGUAGGGAACCUUCCGCAGUGGGCGAGAGCCUGACGCAGCAACGGGGCGUGAGUGGUGAAGGUCUUCGGAUCGUAAAACUCUGUUAUUAGGGAAGAACAAAUUUGUAAGUAGCUAUGCAGGUAUUGACGGUACCGAAUCAGAAAGCCACGGCUAACUACGUG
rnacentral:rRNA from 1 species